rnacentral:tRNA from 1 species
GCCCCGGUAGCUCAAUGGAUUAGAGCGAGUGGCUUCUAUCCACUAGGUUGGGGGUUCGAAUCCCUCCCGGGGUACCA